UUUGUUCCUUAUAUUAACACUUUGUUCCUUAUCAUAUCCAUACUUCUCAACAUAUUACUAAUUUAAACAUGUCUUAGAUUAUAUAUUAAUCUUAGCUUAAAUUCCAGGUUUUAUAGACCAUUACAUAUUAUAAUACCACAUAAUAAUACAAGACAAUAAUAAUAAGGUAAUUAUUACAAUAACUCAUUAAGUUCAUAUAAGCACAUGCACUUAAUAAUAACUUAUUCUGCAAAUUUGCCUUUCUCCCUUAUCUUUCCCUGAGGUACCAGCGUUCUUGGUUUUAACUGAAAAUAUUAUAUUCAACGCAAGGGUGAACAAAAGUUUGCUCAGUAAGGAAAUAAGCAGUUGAAUAUAAUGGAAUAAGAAUAUUUACAACAAGAAAAAUAAAAUCAAGAGAUACUGAGCAAAACAGUUCUUUAUGAGCUUUGAGUUUAAAGAAUCAAACUUUAGCAUGCUGUAAGGUCAAAUGACCGGUGAACUGUUUACUAAAACUACAAUCCAUGGAUACAAACAGUUAUUAAAAUUGAACUAUAUCCUAGACUUGUACUUUAGGGGAUCAUCUCAAGUACCCUAUAUUGUGCACAACAUAACACUCAAAUGACACAUUACAUGUCCUUCAGAAUCAUGUCCAGUAUCAUAUGCCCCUAUAAAAGGGUUGUUCGUUCACAUUAUUAUAUAAGCGUGUGCCAAAACAAAAUGGUUUUGAGAACAUUAAAUGAGAUUUUCAUGAAUGAAUAAUAUCAGUAUAUCUCAACAGUUGUCUAGCCGAAAUAAUGGCAUUGACAUACUUUCAAUAUCAUAAGAAUAACUGAAUUUGAAGUAUUGCAGUUCAAUAAUUUCAAUAACUUGAAAAGAUAAGCUUUCGAGUUAAGUACUUGCAAUAUAAGCUUAAUUGAGUAAGGAAGGUUGAUGUACUAGUCUCUCGCGUCGAUUAAACUUUUUAAGAAAGUGCUUUGCCACUGAGUAACUUACAUAUAUCUAGUAUUGAAUUACUUAGUUAUCUUUUAGCACAAAGUUUAUAUUAGCUCAACUAUGGCUAUUAAAGUUAUAUUCAAUAAUUAUCAGAUAAGCUACUUACUAACAUUAACAGUUCUAUAGAUAGCUAUUAUUCUAAAGUUAAGCACACAUAGGCACUUAGCUUGCCACAACACAUUUUCACAUCUUAGGAUACAUAUAGUACUUUUACUUAAUUAGUUCACAUAGACAUAUAACACAUAUAACUUUCAUACAUCCAAAACAUACAAGUUUCAGUCUCAACAUAUCAUGAUAUAGAUCUUAGAUCAUAAAAAAUCUUUAUUAUCUCAUUUAGUCAUGAUAAGACAUUUACGAGCUUUAAAUUUUACUUUUGCAACAUAACUCAAAAACACAAAAAUAUGAUUUUUGAGGUACGUUUGGAGAUUUUUAGUAGUUUCUAUAGUAACAUUUUGAAUCUCCUAAUUGUGCCAUCUCAUAGACCUCAUAAACAAAGUAUGUUAUUCUUGGUUUAGGUCUUUAAAACUAUUAAGCUUAAGCAAUCAAAAACAGGCCCCAAAUGGGCUGUUUUACACCUUUUCUUAGCAAAAUCUGUAGUUUUUAUGAUUUUCAAGGCUACUUUGAUGAUUUUAUAAAUUUUUGUAUUAUGCUUUUAGACAUGAACUCUGGGCAUACUUCUAGACUGUAUACCAAGGUAUUUUUGUAUUGGUUUGGUUUCUCAAGUAAGCCUUUUAUGCUUCUUGAAACUGAUGCUCAAACUAGGUUGUUUAUCACAGUUUUAGCUUUUACCAACUUUGGUGAAUUCUUUCCAUUUUCAUUUCUGGCCUCUUGUGUUCAAUCCAACACUUGAAUUAUUACUAGUUAAGACUAGUUUUAGCAUUUUUCUUGACUUUGCUAAGCAUAAAUUUGGUUUUGACCCUCUAAACCUAGUUUUUUCAAGCUUUUACUUACUAAUUUCUCAAGUUCUUUUAUACCUUAGCAUUCCAACACUUGGAAUAUCCUAACAUACAUCUAAAUCACUUGUCUAAGGUGUUAAAACUGAUUUUUAAGUAAAAUAGCAAAAUCUCAAUUUUACACUAGAAAAAAAUCUGCAGAAUCUGCAGUUUUGUUGAAUUUAUAGGCUAGUUUGGUGAUUUGUUUGAAUUUAUGGGUUAAGUUAUUGGUUCAACCAUUUGGUCUUGCUUCUGGACCAUACAUCAAGUUUAUUUUUCUUAUUCAUGUCAAUUAGGCUUCCCAAAACAGGGCUCCAAUUGGGCAAUUUUCUCACUUUCAUACAAAAACUAUUUUUGAACUUUUUCCAAAAUUUUCCACUUUUGGCCACUAGGAUAGUUUAGGCAUGUGUAUUUAAGUUACUUAAGGCUAAUUUCAUCAUCAUCAUGCUUUAUUUAAUCACUUAGCCAAGUUUGACUUAUCAAAGCUCACUUUAGGCUUGAAAAUAGAUCCUAACUUGGUUUUCUUGCUAGUUUUGGUCUUGGCAAUGAUUGGAAACCAUUAUGAGCAUGCAUUAGCAUCUUUAUAUGAGUUUAUUACAGGCUUAUAUGUCAGGUGUUGAGGAUCACCCAAAACAACCCUCUUUUGGCUUAAAAUUGUGACUUUUAACAAGUCUAAGGCUAAAAAAAGUUUAGACUUGGCUUCUUUGGCUUAUGUAGCCCACUUAUACUAUAUUAUAACUAUUGAAACUUUCCUAUAUGACCCAGGUACGGUGGUGUUGAGGAUCACCCAAAACAACCCUCUUUUGGCUUAAAAUUGUGAUUUUGAACAAGUCUAAGCCUCAAAACAGUUUAGACUUGGCUUCUUUGUCUUAUGUAGCCCACUUAUACUAUAUUAUAACUAUUGAAACUUUCCUAUAUGACCCAGGUACGGUGGUGUUUAAUUUUGGUGUUUAUUGCUAUCAUAAAGCUUACUUUUAUGGUUUUAGACAUGAAAAUUGAGUAACAUUCACUAUGAACCUCAACUAAGUUAAGGAGAAACUUUUAAAUCAUAUUUAUGGACAUUGUAGGUAAAUCAUACUAUCUAAUAACCUCAGUAGCUAAAAUUGGCCAUAGGAGUUCCUAUUUUUAGGAUUUUAAGCACUGUUUUGGCAUUUAUUCACAAGUAGUCCCAACCUAGGACUCAAGGGACCUUUAAGCCCUCAAACAAACUUUAAAUCAUCAUUAAAACUUAAUACCAUAUACAUUAGCAUGCUUGUAAAAGUUAGUUCAGUUUCUAAUAAUAAAACAGUCCUUACUAGGUUUUAUAAACAUGAAUUAGUUAUACUCUACCAUAACAGUCCCAAGUAUUCAAAAGCUCAAGUUGUAUGGAUUUUUACUUCAUACACAUGCUAUAUAAUCAAUACACAUGGCUUAAAAAUUAGCAGAUUAAAGACUUUAUUCAUUUGAUCAAAAUAGCCUCCUCUUAACUUUAAGUUUUAACACAUGAACUAGUAAUACCACAAAAAUCAAGCUAAUACUAUUAUGGACUGAUUUGCACAACAUCUCUCAUAAAUUACUAGGACUGCUCCAAUAGUCAAUUCUCUUAGUUUAUUAGCAAGUCAUUUAGUUGGUUAAUGGCAUAUCAUGGCAGUUAAAAUAGUGGCAGAGUUUGACAUGUGCAAAACAGGUCCAAACUUUGCUUAUUUUGGUUUCAAGCUUCCUAAAAAUUUCGAUUAGUUUUUAUUAUUAUUUUCAUCCAUGGUUUGGUUCAUUAGAAACCUUGAUUUAACAUGUAAAUCACAUUAAGGUCAAGGGAAAUCAAUCCUUAACUAGCUUGUUAACACAGUUACUUUUAAUUAGUUUAACUCAUAUAUGAAACUAUCAUAGUAUGCAAGUUACACUCAACCUGCCUUAUUAUAUAUACUAUAUAAGCUUACAUGUCUUUGCUUGAUUAUUAGCAUGAUAAUAAGGCCUUUGUUCUUGCAUGCACAGUUGAUACUUAGUUACCCCAAAUCAGUCCUGACUUUAGCAUUUAAUCGAACAAUUGGUGGGAAAUCUUUAUACUUACAUAUAGUAAAUACAUUUUUAGCCUUCUUGUUCUAGCCUUAUGGCAUUAAAACAACAACAAGAACAACACACCAACAUAGCAGUUCCAACAUCAAUGACAACACAACAUAGCAGUCCACCUAGCAGUGUCAAUCCGGCCUAUAGCAGUCAACCAAUUCAUCUGGCCACUAACAGUUGGCUUACUAAUAAAAAUGUAAAUGGAAUUGGAAUGGAAUGCUUACCUUGCUAGCUUAAGGAAUGAAGGUGUUGGGCUACUCAAUCUUCCUUUUCUUUCCAGCUGAUGCUCUCUUCUUUCCCUCUAAAUGUGCCACUGAUUUCUUUUAAUUUCUUGCUUAAAUAAACUGCUUUGCUCCUUGAGGGUUUGAAGAGCCAACUAUAUGUUGAGUUCUCCCCCCUUGCAGUCAGUCCCAUUGGCCUCUAGUUGGCCCCUACACAACCACCUUGCCAAUCUCCCAACAAUCAUUCUUAACCUAUUCUAAUUCUGCUCCCGCAGUGGACCCUAAUAAAUCCCCUCACAACUCUUAGCCAUCUAAUUUGCCCCUUGCAUUGGCCCCUAGUAGCCACGCUAUGCCUUCUAGCAUAUCUUCUAACUAAUUACUAACUGGCUGCUCCUUUACUAACUGCCUAGCAACUAAUUGCCUGUUCAUUGGAAUUGAGCUAAACAGCCCACUACUACUCCACAUAUGGGCUGUCGAAUUGUUCAAGGG
rnacentral:lncRNA from 1 species